rnacentral:rRNA from 1 species
UGUCGGAUUACUGGGCGUAAAGCGAUGCGUAGGCGGUAUAGUUAAGUCAGGAUGUGAAAUCCCCGGGCUCAACCCGGGAACUGCAUUCCAAACUGGUUAUCUAGAGUGUAGGAGAGGAAAGUAGAAUUCCUAGUGUAGCGGUGAAAUGCGUAGAUAUUAGGAGGAAUACCAGUGGCGAAGGCGACUUUCUGGACUAUAACUGACACUGAGGCACGAAAGCAUGGGGAGCAAACAGGAUUAAA